rnacentral:rRNA from 1 species
AGCGAACGCUGGCGGCAGGCCUAACACAUGCAAGUCGAACGAACUCUUCGGAGUUAGUGGCGGACGGGUGAGUAACACGUGGGAACGUGCCUUUAGGUUCGGAAUAACUCAGGGAAACUUGUGCUAAUACCGAAUGUGCCCUUCGGGGGAAAGAUUUAUCGCCUUUAGAGCGGCCCGCGUCUGAUUAGCUAGUUGGUGAGGUAAAGGCUCACCAAGGCGACGAUCAGUAGCUGGUCUGAGAGGAUGAUCAGCCACAUUGGGACUGAGACACGGCCCAAACCUCCUCCGGAGGCCGGCGUGGGGGAUCUUGGCGCAUUGGGCGAAGGCUUACCGCGGCCUGGCGGGUGAAAUAUUAAGGUCUUAGGGUUGUUAAAUUCUUUCACCGGGGACGAUAAUGACGGUACCCGGAGAAGAAGCCCCGGCUAACUUCGUG